rnacentral:rRNA from 1 species
AUUGAACGCUGGCGGCAUGCCUUACACAUGCAAGUCGAACGGCAGCACGGGUGCUUGCACCUGGUGGCGAGUGGCGAACGGGUGAGUAAUACAUCGGAACAUGUCCUGUAGUGGGGGAUAGCCCGGCGAAAGCCGGAUUAAUACCGCAUACGAUCUACGGAUGAAAGCGGGGGACCUUCGGGCCUCGCGCUAUAGGGUUGGCCGAUGGCUGAUUAGCUAGUUGUUGGGGUAAAGGCCUACCAAGGCGACGAUCAGUAGCUGGUCUGAGAGGACGACCAGCCACACUGGAACUGAGACAAGGCCCAGACUCCUAAGGGAGGCAGCAGUGGGGAAUUUUGGACAAUGGGCGAAAGCCUGAUCCAGCAAUGCCGCGUGUGUGAAGAAGGCCUUCGGGUUGUAAAGCACUUUUGUCCGGAAAGAAAUCCUUGGCCCUAAUACGGUCGGGGGAUGACGGUACCGGAAGAAUAAGCACCGGCUAACUACGUG